AAAAAAAAAAAACCUAGGUUUCCGUAUCUAACAUUUAACUGUCCGUUUUAUAUGAAAUUUUUUUAUAAUUAGUAUUUUUAUUAUUGUUAGAUGAUAAAAUAUAAUUAAUACUUUAUACGUGACUUAUCUUUUUAAUUUUGUUCAUAAUUUUUUUAAAUAAGACGGACAGUCAAACGUUGGACACGGAAACUCAGGAUUUGUCUCUUU
rnacentral:pre_miRNA from 1 species